CAGUAUAUCAGCCUAGGACAGUAAACAUCACACAGCUUAGGGCGAUCAAACAGCAGGGCGUUUUUUUCUUCUCUUUUCAACGCUAGUUUUCGGAAAAAAUACAACUGCAUGCAAAGCAUUCCCAUUUCAAACGAUGCAAAAAUGAGGCAAUAAGGUAAACAUCACAAGAGGACUCCAUCGUUGCCACCGAGGGGACUAGGAGACACAACCAACGCUAACAGCCCAAGUCACCAAUGAAAAAC